rnacentral:lncRNA from 1 species
GCGCAGGCUCCAGGACGGAUUCCAGGUGUGGGCUUCGCGGCAGGUUAGGCCCUUUGCCCGGAGCAUCUGCUGUGGAGGCUGCCCAGGAACCACUUCGCUUCCUCGCGUAACAUCGACUGGCUUUCCUUCGUGCCCACUGCCCUGGGCUGCAUGCGGUUCAGCUGGGGCUGACUCCACGCCCGGUUCCAGAGGAGGGAUGGGGCCCAGCCUUCUCCGCUUAUACUCUUCCCUGGCCGUGGUGAUUGGUCCAUGGGUGGGCUCCUAUCUCAAGUCCUUCUGAGAGGAGGGCUCCCUGAGACAGCCGAAGGAUAAAUAGCUGGUCCCCCAGCCUUAGCUUCGACUGCCCACAAGGGGUCUGGAGCAGAGAAACUAUGCUCAGCUUCCUUGUCCUUCGAACGGACCGGCGAGGAGGCAGCGGACGAGCAGCUCUUCGGGCCCACCUGCCGUCGGACCACCGUCUGGUCCCCCAGACCCCUGCUGAGCACCCGUACAUGUCAGCACUGGGCCAGGCCCCACCCAGCACGUUGUUCACACGUGAUCUCAGUGCUCACAACCACCUCCUGAGUGAGCUCAAGUCCUCUGUACUCGUUACAUCAGAGAUCGAUGGAUGA